AGGUAAGCAGCUCGGCAGCGAUGACUCAGUGAUGUGAAGAACAGGAUGUGGCGGAGAACAAGUCAUGGUGGUUACUUGCUCUGAUCUGCCUCCUGGCCCAUAAACCUUGCGAGCUGCACGUAAUCGCUCCCCUUUGUGCAGGUUGAAGACAGGCUCGAACAGCAACACUCGCUCUUCCCGUUGCGGGGAUGGGCGUGCCAAGGAUUAAUAUCCACUGAACGCAGUAGUGUAUAACCUUGAUGAUCUGAACCCCUCGUUGAUCUCCAGCUCCCUGUUAAUUGAAAUGGGGUCUCAUGUCCCCCAGUGUCUAUUAAUUAUAGCAGUCUCCUUUUGGUCCUGCUCUUACCCUUUAAUUUGCCCCACUCCCGUUGGUCGCUGGGCAUACUGCAAUACCUAUCUGUUUUCCCAGGCUUUUGAGAGGGUAUGAGUUCCUGACUCACCUCCUGACAGGCUCAAAAAUUGAAAGACAAUGAAGAUUGAAGAGACAUCAGUAUUUCAGAUGGGAAUCAGAUUAAAGAAGUGAGGUGGAAUUAGUGUGGGGGAAGAUCAGAGUUUGGCAUAUUGUUACAGGAACAUGUGAAUUUUAAUAGAAUGUAAUACCUGGAUAAUCAACCUCAUUCUCAUCAAGCUAUUAGGGCAGUCUGUGGGUGAAAAGGACACGGUCUCAGCCUUUAAUCUUUGUGAAAAAUGGCUACACUUGAAGUAUUAUAGGUUGCAUCAAACUAAUCCUUUGCCUAGAGCUCUUCUGACAUAAUAAAUCAGUGGUGCUACUCCACAAAUAUGGCUGAAAACAAAAAUGCUAUGGAUCAUAUUCACUGUUGGCAUAAACAGACUCAAAUCCACUGAAGUCAAUAAAAUGUAUCCAUGUAUGUCAGCAUUGAAUUUGACCCACUGUUUAUAUAAAGCUUAAUUAGAAACAAAGAAAGGGAGAGAAAAAUGUUUGUCAAGCAACUGAGUAAUAUGGUAGGGGAAAAUAUUUCUUUAGGAGUUUCUAACAAUGAAAAGUAAAAGUCACAAUGGCAUUUGAGAUGUUUAUUGGCACAGAUCUUUACUACUAUCUGUAAUAGUAGUGUAUGUUGUUAACAUGCCUUGGAAAUGAGAAUAUUUUCCAGUUUAAAAAAAAGAUGAGACUUUCAAAGUUUGCUAUAACCUGUGGCAUGCACCUAAACUUAUUAAUAAAAGCAAUCAUUUUCAA